AACCUUGACUUUUCGAGUGAGCAGAAACAUUUACCGAUGCAACAUACUUAUAUACGUUGGUGGAAUGGUGCCAAAUUUGAUCAGAAGAAAGAGAGAAUUAGGAGAACUAGAGGAAGAACAACUGAAAAAUUUCUACUUAAAGUACCGUCAAGCAUAAAAAUUCCCUUCCAUUGCAGAUUUACAUUAUUUCUUCCCAAAGAUUUGUUCAAAUAAUAUAUCGGAACUGGAUAGAGAAUGGCGAAUGUUAAGAAAUGUCGAUUUUUCUUUCGACCAAAACAAAACUCCCGAUGUUAUCGACUUUUGGAAACAUGUACAAGAAUUAAGAAAUGGAGACGAAUCUCAAACACUCCCUACAUUGUGUGAAUUGGUAAAGAAGCUUUUGUGCCUACCACAUAGCAGCCCCGCCGUGGAAAGGUUAUUUUCUGCUAUAAAUAUUAUGAAAACCAAAUUACGCAAUAGAAUAUCGACUACAACUAUUAAAGGAGUAUUGCACACUAAAUCCAAAAUAACUGAUUGCUAUUCAUUCGAAGCCACAGAAAAGCACAUGAAGAAAUUCAACAUAAACAUGUAUGAUUUUAAAAAUAAAAAUGAGUGUGAAAAUAAUGAAGAUGAGGCAAUUGAAAAUGAAACUGAAAAAUAAUUUUACUUAGAUUUUUGUUUUAUGUUGCUGUGAUUAUAAAUAUAUCAAUUGAUAAACGGACAUUAAUUUCGGCCGGACGUACAGCCUACAGCCUAUUCUCAUACCCUCACAAAAAUCACCACCCUCACUAUUGUGCGGCUUUCCGUAUGCUGAAGCGAUUUCAAAAGCACAAAUACUCAAAAUUUCCUCACAAAUUUGCGAUGUGUGAAAGCAAACCUCCCAAUGCAAAAUCGAUUAUGUUUGUUGAAAGAAAUUUGCAAUUACUUUAUUGAAAUAGAAUGGAGGAACUAUUCUUCCAAAGGCGUUAUCUAUUAUAACUAUAAGUAUUUGUCUAUUAACAAUAAAUAUGUAACUUACCGUCUUUGUACAUUUUACUACCUUCUAAGUAUGAAUAAAAAAGACAUAUACAUUAGGA